UAGAUCGUUCUUUUUACAUGGAUAACUGUGGUAAUUCUAGAGCUAAUACAUGCAAAAAGCUCCGACCGUAUGGGAAGAGCGCUUUUAUUAGACCAAAACCAAUGGGGUCGCAAGAUCCCUUUGUCUGGUGACUCUGGAUAACUUUGUGCUGAUCGCAUGGCCUCGAGCCGGCGACGUAUCUUUCAAGUGUCUGCCCUAUCAACUUUCGAUGGUAAGCGAUUUGCCUACCAUGGUUGUAACGGGUAACGGGGAAUCAGGGUUCGAUUCCGGAGAGGGAGCAUGAGAAAUGGCUACCACAUCUACGGAAGGCAGCAGGCGCGCAAAUUACCCACUCCUAGAACGGGGAGGUAGUGACGAAAAAUAACAAUACCGGACUCAAUGAGGCUCGGUAAUUGAAAUGAGUACAGUUUAAAACCCUUAACGAGGAUCUAUUGGAGGGCAAGUCUGGUGCCAGCAGCCGCGGUAAUUCCAGCUCCAAUAGCGUAUAUUAAAGUUGUUGCAGUUAAAAAGCUCGUAGUUGGAUCUCGGGUACUAGCAUGCGGUACGCUUUACUGCGUUUACUGCAUGUCUGGUCCUAAUCAACCGGUUGGCCGUUGAUGCCC
rnacentral:rRNA from 1 species